UGAGUGGGUCAGACGAUCGCUGUCGUAAUGGCAGAGGAAAGUCCGGGCUCCAACGGGUCAGGACGCCAGGUAACGCCUGGGGGGCGCGAGCCUACGGAAAGUGCAACAGAAAGGAAACCGCCUGCUUGCAGGUAAGGGUGAAAAGGUGCGGUAAGAGCGCACCGCGCGGUUGGCAACAAGCGUGGCGAUGGUAAACCCCGUCCGGAGCAAGACCAAAUAGGAAUCCGAUACCGUGACCCUCGGUGGAUUCGGGUAGGUCGCUUCAGGCGAACGGUGACGUUCGUCGCAGAUGAAUGAUCGUCCAAGACAGAACCCGGCUUAUCGACCAACUCAUUAU
rnacentral:RNase_P_RNA from 1 species